CGUACUAAAACGGCACUUACCGCUACUUCUGAUACUUCUAAAUAGAUGAGUAACUUUUCACCUUCUUUAGGUUUAGCCAAUAAAGGAGGAUUUGAUAAAUAAGUUUUCAAAUCCCUAAGUGCUCGUUGACAAUCUUCAUUCCACUCGAAAUGGUCUUGCUUUUGGAGCGUAGAGAAGAAUCUGAAGCAUUUUUCUGAUGAUUUU
rnacentral:lncRNA from 1 species